GACAUACAUAUGUAAUACCCAGUAUCUCCUCUAAAGGUUUUCGGCCAAUAUCCCUCCCCUCUCCAACCACCUUCUCUACCCCACCAGUAGCUUCCAUCUCAAGAGACCACUUUCUUUGCUAACCCAUAAGAAGCAACUCCUCAUAUGUUCAAGUUUGAUCAUGAGUUUGCAGCAAUUCAGUCACAUGUUCUCAGGACUGAUGUCAGGAAUUAUGUGUGUCCUUGGGAAAACUAUGUAUCCCAGUCCUGGUCUACUAUUCUACAGCAAACCCUGAAUGGCUUAGCACCCAAAUGGCCUUGGCAGAGGCUGGGGUUGAGUGGGCCUUCUAUUUCACACCUCUGUGCUUAUGUAGUGUGUUUCUGCCAAUCAACAAAGGGGGUUUAGCAAAAAUGGACCCAUGACUUCAUUGCCAGUGCCAGAUAUUCAAAUGUAAAACAAAGGGCCCUGGGGUCUUUCUGUAAACUGGAAGUCAAGGGAAAUGGACAGAGGGCUCAGGAGGGGUCCAUCUUUGCUCCCAGGUCAGAUGGAGAAUGUGGAGCACCUGGGACAUAGAAAGACGUGGUAAGGGAGGAGUGUCUAAGACUUUCUCACUUAUCAUGGGAU
rnacentral:lncRNA from 1 species